rnacentral:rRNA from 1 species
UACGUAGGGCGCAAGCGUUGUCCGGAAUUAUUGGGCGUAAAGAGCUCGUAGGCGGUUUGUCGCGUCUGCUGUGAAAGCCCGGGGCUCAACCCCGGGUCUGCAGUGGGUACGGGCAGACAGAGUGCAGUAGGGGAGACUGGAAUUCCUGGUGUAGCGGUGAAAUGCGCAGAUAUCAGGAGGAACACCGAUGGCGAAGGCAGGAUCUCCGUGGGCUGGCU